rnacentral:rRNA from 1 species
GGUAACACUGACUGGAGGACCGAACCGACUACCGUUGAAAAGUUAGCGGAUGACCUGUGGAUCGGAGUGAAAGGCUAAUCAAGCUCGGAGAUAGCUGGUUCUCCUCGAAAGCUAUUUAGGUAGCGCCUCAUGUAUCACUGUAGGGGGUAGAGCACUGUUUCGGCUAGGGGGUCAUCCCGACUUACCAAACCGAUGCAAACUCCGAAUACCUACAAGUGCCGAGCAUGGGAGACACACGGCGGGUGCUAACGUCCGUCGUGAAAAGGGAAACAACCCAGACCGUCAGCUAAGGUCCCAAAGUCAUGGUUAAGUGGGAAACGAUGUGGGAAGGCUUAGAC